rnacentral:rRNA from 1 species
UUCUUAAUUAGAAUCUUGUAUGAAUGGUUGGACGAGAGAGAUACUGUCUUUGUAAUAUAAUUUGAAUUUAACUUUUAAGUGAAAAGGCUUAAAUAAUCUAAGGGGACGAUAAGACCCUAUAAAGCUUUACAUUGGGAUUAAAUUAAGUUGAAUUUGAUUAUAAAAGUUAAAUUUAAUUAUUUGUUGUGUUGGGGAGACAAUAGUAAAAUUUAUAGUAACUGCUGAUUAUAUAAACAAUUUUUAGUGUUUUUUAUAGAUCCAUAAUAAUGAUUAUAAGAUUAAGUUACUUUAGGGAUAACAGCGUUAUUUUUUUUGAGAGCUCAUAUCGAAAAAGAAGAUUGCGACCUCGAUGUUGAAUUAAAUUGUCUAUAUAAUGCAGGCGUUGUAUAAGAAGGUCUGUUCGACCUUUAAAUAUUUA